rnacentral:rRNA from 1 species
AGCGAACGCUGGCGGCAGGCUUAACACAUGCAAGUCGAGCGCCCCGCGAGGGGAGCGGCAGACGGGAGAGUAACACGUGGGAACGUACCCUUUAGUUCGGAACAACCCAGGGAAACUUGGGCUAAUACCGGAUACGUCCGUAAGGAGAAAGAUUUAUCGCUAAAAGAUCGGCCCGCGUCUGAUUAGCUAGUUGGUGAGGUAACGGCUCACCAAGGCGACGAUCAGUAGCUGGUCUGAGAGGAUGAUCGGCCUCACUGGGACUGAGACACGGCCCAGACUCCUACGGGAGGCAGCAGUGGGGAAUAUUGGACAAUGGGCGCAAGCCUGAUCCAGCCAUGCCGCGUGGGUGAUGAAGGCCCUAGGGUUGUAAAGCCCUUUCGGCGGGGAAGAUAAUGACGGUACCCGCAGAAGAAGCCCCGGCUAACUUCGUGCCAGCCGCCGCAGUAA